rnacentral:lncRNA from 1 species
CCAGUAGGCCAUUCUUUUUAUUUUUAGCCUCUUUUUUUUCUUUUUUUUUAUGAAUAUUCUUCAAAAGAUUUCUUGAUUUUAAUUUGAUCAACAUAGAUCUUUUUUGGAGAUAGAGGUGUCAAAAUGUGUUUUAGAUCGUCUAGAUAUAAAGAGUACUAAUUCUUGAACCAAUCAUGAUGUACCUGUCUAUCAUACUAGUAUGGUUGUCUAGGCAAGAUAUGACUGGCGUGCAUGGGAACAACAUCACAACAUACCUCAUCUUUAUACUUGCCUAUGGAGAAG